rnacentral:misc_RNA from 1 species
GUGGGAGGGGGCUUGCUCCCGAUGGCGGUGGGUCAGUUGGCUCAUAUGAAACUGACCCACUGCCAUCGGGAGCAAGCCCCCUCCCAU